CAACCUGCCCACCACUUGGGGAUAACCUUGCGAAAGUAAGACUAAUACCCAAUGAUAUCUCUAGAAGACAUCUGAAAGAGAUUAAAGAUUUAUCGGUGAUGGAUGGGGAUGCGUCUGAUUAGCUUGUUGGCGGGGUAACGGCCCACCAAGGCGACGAUCAGUAGGGGUUCUGAGAGGAAGGUCCCCCACAUUGGAACUGAGACACGGUCCAAACUCCUACGGGAGGCAGCAGUGAGGAAUAUUGGUCAAUGGACGAGAGUCUGAACCAGCCAAGUAGCGUGCAGGAUGACGGCCCUAUGGGUUGUAAACUGCUUUUAUAAGGGAAUAAAGUGAGUCUCGUGAGACUUUUUGCAUGUACCUUAUGAAUAAGGACCGGCUAAUUCCGUGCCAGCAGCCGCGGUAAUACGGAAGGUCCGGGCGUUAUCCGGAUUUAUUGGGUUUAAGGGGAGCGUAGGCCGGAGAUUAAGCGUGUUGUGAAAUGUAGAUGCUCAACAUCUGCACUGCAGCGCGAACUGGUUUCCUUGAGUACGCACAAAGUGGGCGGAAUUCGUGGUGUAGCGGUGAAAUGCUUAGAUAUCACGAAGAACUCCGAUUG
rnacentral:rRNA from 1 species